CUCCAAGAAAUUAAACUCGGGCAAAGAUUCAUGGGAUUAAAAAUUUUUAUUCUUUGUGUAUUUGAUUUCCGAAACAUAGAAAUCUCUCUCCCACUCCUUAAACCUGCCACUGGGCUAAGAGAGUAUUGUACAGAAUAUGCACUCACUGACUUAACAGAAUUAGAACAUCCAGGCACUCACUGAGAUUUUGCUUCCACAACCGCUCAAAGUCUAGUCAUUAGUUCAUGAGUUAACACCACACUUGACCUUCAAGUUUUGGAAAUGCUGACGGUAGACAGGGACUUGUUUUGGGAAAGGAAGUACACAGUAGACAUUGUUACCCAUGACCCAACCACCACCACCUUUCCUUUAAAGAACCCCACUCUUCCUUUAAGGUUGCAGAGUCUCAGAAAGUGGGAAGAAAGGAAGUUUUUGCAUUUUCAGGUCAAAACGAAGUACAUUUGUGCAACCACAUAAUGCCCAUGCAAAGGUUUCUUGAAAUCUAAACACAAGACAGAAGUAGUUCUAGCACCUCCACAAAAAGUAAGGUAAGUAAGUUUUUCCUUAAUAUACACUUUCAGCAGCAUCAACACCUAAAAGUGGUUGACUUUACUACUGUACUAAAUUAAAUUACAUUCAUUUUGUCAAUAGGUGUUCCAAAUUCGUACUGAUCUUUGUCUCCAAGGGGUUCCUGCUGAAUAUUGAGACAGUUGAAGAUUACUAGGGGAAAAAAUUCUUAAUAAUCGAAGUAAGGAUCAUCUAAGGAUAAUAUGCCACAUAUACAGACACAGUCACAUUUUCAGCUUUACAAAAGUUCAGUUAUCAAAGUUGUACAGCAAACACUAUCCUAAGCUUAGCGUCUUCAGGCAUUUGAUUUAUAAUCACUGUAAAGAAAAAUCAGUCACAAAAUGCCACUGUUGUAUGAUUCUAUUUAUAUGAAAUGCCCAGGAUAGGCAAAUCUACAGAGAUAGAAGUUAGAUCAGAGGUUGCCAGGAUCAAUGGUGGGGGAGAGAGCUACAGGGAGUGACUGCUAGUGGGUACGGGGUUCUUUUUGGGGAGAUGAAAAUGUUCUGAAAUUAGGGAGUGGUAAUGGCUGCAUAACUCUGAAUAUACUAAAAACCACUGAACUGUACACUUGAAGGGUGAGGCUUAUCAUACAAAAACUGUAUCACAAUAAAGCUCUUAGUUUAAAAAAUGUUUGUCUAUGUCAAGAAACAAAGAAAUAGGGUCAUAGCUAGAAGAUAUGGGAUAUAAAAUACUGGAACAAAACUGCUUAAUAAUAUAUCUAGAAUCACACAAUGCUUAGUCUUUACGCUGACUAAAAUCACGAGAUUUGUGUUUUAUCGGUAUUUCACAUUUUUUACUUCUUCUAAGUCAGCCAGUAAUUCCUCCUUCUCACUUAAUCGUUGACUACAAAGACCAAGCCAUUUUGACUCUGCCACCGAUGAGCUUUCACAUUUCUUUCCUCCUUCCAUUCCCAUGACUACCAAACCAGUGCAGGUUCUCCUCACUUCACUCUAAGACAACAGCGUGGCCCUCAAAUACUGUCACACUCUUCAAGGCUCUGUGAGCACAAUCUGUCUCAUAUUCUCUUCUGCUGUCACCAGAUUUAUUCUAAGACCGUUUCUUCACUGUUACUCCCCUGUUUCUCAACCAGUUACACAGAAAGACGAAUAUCCAGGCAUGGUGUCAUGUGCCUGUAGUCCCAGCUACUCAGGAGGCUGAGGCGGCAGGAUCGCUUGAGAAUGUGAGAUUCAGACUGCAGUGAGCCAUGAUCAUGCCACCG
rnacentral:lncRNA from 1 species